GCAGGCAUGUGUGAUGACUCAACUUUUUUCCCCAUCAGAUCGACCAUGUUGAUCACAGUCUUUUAAGCCAGUUUAUCUGACAUGCCUGC
ensembl:snoRNA Snord12b small nucleolar RNA, C/D box 12B